AUUGAACGCUGGCGGCAUGCCUUACACAUGCAAGUCGAACGGCAGCAUGAUCUAGCUUGCUAGAUUGACGGCGAGUGGCGAACGGGUGAGUAAUACAUCGGAACGUGCCCUGUAGUGGGGGAUAACUAGUCGAAAGAUUAGCUAAUACCGCAUACGACCUGAGGGUGAAAGUGGGGGACCGCAAGGCCUCAUGCUAUAGGAGCGGCCGAUGUCUGAUUAGCUAGUUGGUGAGGUAAAGGCUCACCAAGGCGACGAUCAGUAGCUGGUCUGAGAGGACGAUCGGCCACACUGGGAAUGAGACACGGCCCAGACUCCUACGGGAGGCAGCAGUGGGGAAUUUUGGACAAUGGGGGCAACCCUGAUCCAGCAAUGCCGCGUGUGUGAAGAAGGCCUUCGGGUUGUAAAGCACUUUUGUCCGGAAAGAAAUCGCACUUACUAAUAUUAGGUGUGGAUGACGGUACCGGAAGAAUAAGGACCGGCUAACUACGUGCCAGCAGCCGCCGCGGUAA
rnacentral:rRNA from 1 species